rnacentral:rRNA from 1 species
GAUGAACGCUGGCGGCGUGCCUAAUACAUGCAAGUCGAGCGAACGGACGAGAAUCUUGCUUUUCUGAUGUUAGCGGCGGACGGGUGAGUAACACGUGGAUAACCUACCUAUAAGACUGGGAUAACUUCGGGAAACCGGAUCUAAUACCGGAUAAUAUUUUGAACCGCAUGGUUCAAAAGUGAAAGACGUUCUUGCUGUCACUUAUAGAUGGAUCCUCGCUGCAUUAGCUAGUUGGUAAGGUAACGGCUUACCAAGGCAACGAUGCAUAGCCGACCUGAGAGGGUGAUCGGCCACACUGGAACUGAGACACGGUCCAGACUCCUACGGGAGGCAGCAGUAGGGAAUCUUCCGCAAUGGGCGAAAGCCUGACGGAGCAACGCCGCGUGAGUGAUGAAGGUCUUCGGAUCGUAAAACUCUGUUAUUAGGGAAGAACAGAUGUGUAAGUAACUGUGCACAUCUUGACGGUACCUAAUCAGAAAGCCACGGCUAACUACGUG